AUUGAACGCUGGCGGCAGGCUUAACACAUGCAAGUCGAACGAGCGGCGGACGGGUGAGUAAUGUCUGGGAAACUGCCUGAUGGAGGGGGAUAACUACGGGAAACGGUAGCUAAUACCGCAUACCAUCGGAUGAGCCCAGGUGGGAUUAGGUAGUUGGUGGGGUAAUGGCUCACCAAGGCGACGAUCCCUAGCUGGUCUGAGAGGAUGACCAGCCACACUGGAACUGAGACACGGCCCAGACUCCUACGGGAGGCAGCAGUGGGGAAUAUUGCACAAUGGGGGCAAGCCUGAGGCAGCCAUGCCGCGUGAGUGAAGAAGGCCUUCGGGUUGUAAAGUUCUUUCAGCGGGGAGGCGUUACCCGCAGAAGAAGCACCGGCUAACUCCGUGCCAGCAGCCGCGGUAAUAC
rnacentral:rRNA from 1 species